rnacentral:rRNA from 1 species
CCUACGGGUGGCAGCAGUGAGGAAUAUUGGUCAAUGGGCGGGAGCCUGAACCAGCCAAGUCGCGUGAGGGAAGACGGUCCUAUGGAUUGUAAACCUCUUUAGGCGGGGAGAAAUGCCGGGCACGCGUGCACGGAGGGAGAGUACCCGCAGAAUAAGCCUCGGCUAACUCCGUGCCAGCAGCCGCGGUAAUACGGAGGAUGCGAGCUUUAUCCGGUUGUUUUGGGUUUAAAGGGUGCGUAGGCGGAUUUUAAAGUCAGCGGUAAAAUGUCCGGACACAACCCGGGCCGGCCGUUGAAACUGGGGAUCUUGAGUGGGCGCGAAGUAUGCGGAAUGCGUGGUGUAGCGGUGAAAUGCAUAGAUAUCACGCAGAACUCCGAUUGCGAAGGCAGCAUGCCGGCGCCCGACUGACGCUGAGGCACGAAAGCGUGGGGAUCGAACAGGAUUAGAUACCCGGGUAGUC